GAUGAACGCUAGCGAUAGGCUUAACACGUGCAAGUCGAGGGGCAGCACAAGGUAGCUUGCUAUCUGGGUGGCGACCGGCGCACGGGUGCGUAACGCGUAUGCAACUUGCCCUAUACAGGAGGAUAACCCGUCGAAAGACGGACUAAUACUGCGUAUGCUCACAACUUGGCAUCAAGUGGUGAGGAAAGAAAUUCGGUAUAGGAUAGGCAUGCGUCCCAUUAGCUUGUUGGUGAGGUAACGGCUCACCAAGGCAACGAUGGGUAGGGGAACUGAGAGGUUUAUCCCCCACACUGGUACUGAGACACGGACCAGACUCCUACGGGAGGCAGCAGUGAGGAAUAUUGGUCAAUGGGCGCGAGCCUGAACCAGCCAAGUCGCGUGAAGGAUGACUGUCUUAUGGAUUGUAAACUUCUUUUAUACGGGAAUAACAAGAGUCACGUGUGACUCCCUGCAUGUACCGUAUGAAUAAGCAUCGGCUAACUCCGUG
rnacentral:rRNA from 1 species